rnacentral:pre_miRNA from 1 species
UUAACUAGAAUUUGUAUGGAGUUGGAAAGUUUGGCUGCGUUUGCCGCUAGGGGCGCUGUCCCAACUGCAUACAAAUUUAAGUAA